GACGAACGCUGGCGGCGCGCCUCAUACAUGCAAGUCGAGCGAGAACCAGGGCUUGCCCUGGGGAGAGCGGCGAACGGGUGCGUAUCACGUGAGCAACCUGCCCCGAAGACCGGGAUAACUCGAGGAAACUCGGGCUAAUACCGGAUGUCCUCGGUGGACCGCAUGGUCCGGCGAGGAAAUGGAUUCCGCUUCGGGAUGGGCUCGCGGCCUAUCAGCUUGUUGGUGGGGUAAUGGCCUACCAAGGCGACGACGGGUAGCUGGUCUGAGAGGACGAUCAGCCACACUGGGACUGAGACACGGCCCAGACUCCUACGGGAGGCAGCAGUAGGGAAUCUUGCGCAAUGGGCGAAAGCCUGACGCAGCGACGCCGCGUGCGGGAUGAAGGCCUUCGGGUCGUAAACCGCUUUCAGCAGGGACGAAAUUGACGGUACCUGCAGAAGAAGGCCCGGCCAACUACGUGCCAGCCGCCGCGGUAA
rnacentral:rRNA from 1 species